AAAAAGGCCGCCGCCACGGGUGUCAGUUUAUCCGAUCACGGUGUCCCUCUCCAACUAAAUCUACCCUCCAGCUAAGUUGAAUCUGAGAGCAUACACGAGCCAACACUUGAAGACUUGGAUGUGGCAUUCAUAGCGGAGGGCAUCAAUUGCACCGGCCAGCAAAAAGAUUUGUUUUGCGGAGAUUCUUCAAACAGCAGAGCUGCAGAGUACAGAGAGCCAAAGAAAUUCGGCGGAAAUAGUGAACUGGAGAGCUGAUGAUUUCGAGUAGAUUACAU